UUAAGUUCAGCGGGUAUCCUCACCUGAUCCGAGGUCAAACUUUAGGAUGUGAUUACCUGGCGGGCGCCGCCACGGACUCCUGAAGCGAAAUUUUUGCUACGCUUGAAGCCGGACUGCACUGCCAACGGGUUACGGACGGGUCACUCGACCGCGUCCAAGACCAAGCUGGGCUUGAUGGUUUAAAUGACGCUCGAACAGGC
rnacentral:misc_RNA from 1 species